CUAAACCAGGGCUUAAGUGGAUCAGCCUCCUGUCUCCCCAGGGCCUGGGCACCCCUGGGGCACGGACAGACAAGCAGAGUCUCUUCUGCCCGAGGAUGCUGAAUCCUCCCCCUCCUCUCACGCUCCCUGUCCUCCAUCGCCCCCAGCCUCUGGGUCCUCAGCUGCCACAAGAGCCAACAAUCCAUACUCCUUAUCAGAGGGCCAGCAAGAAUCGAGGCUAGAGCCCAGCACCUGGGAGGGCUGUGACACCCGCCCUGCCCCACGGAGAGUGCCAGUCCCAUCUGUACUCAGGCCUGAGCUCAAGCCACGGAGAGAGUCUCCCUCUGCUGAACCCCUGGGUUGGGUAUCCCCGCUCCCUGCCCGCACCCCGGGCAAGGGCUGACGUCUGACGCACAGGAGGGUGACAGGCAGAGCCCAGCAGACGGCCGGGACAAGGCUCCCUUUCCAGCCCCCCCACCCCCGUCCUGACAAGUCCUCCGUCCUCCCAGGAUCACCUGAACUCGUCCCGCGGACUCCAAACAGAGCGUCAGUCCUUAGAAACCCACAGAUGGGGCCGAGGUCCCAGCGUGCACCGUCACAGCCUCUGCCCCCCAGCUCUCCUUUCCCCACCUGUAAUGGGGGUAAUCCGGCCUGGAGCUCUUGUGAAAAAAAAAAACAUUUGUGGAACACAUUUGCUCCCAACCUCAAUCUCCCUCUCCU